GGCCCGCGGCUCAUGCGCGGUGCACCGAGGCUUGUUUCACAUCUGUAACAACAGGGCCUGCAGGAAGCCCCCGGAGUGCCCUGGGACCUUUGUCUGCCCCCGUGCCGCCUGAACCGUUCGUCCACAAAAAGGCUUGGUGUAUUCUGGCCCCCCUGGUUUGCCCCCUUUUGCACCGACCUUGUCACUGGGGGAGGCCAAGGGGAGGAGGCCCAGCCUCGUGAUGAGGAAUAGCAAAGAGAGAAUUCAGCUCCAGUUCAAAAGCCCACAAAAUCUGAGACUGUCACUGCUCUUGUAAGGAUUCCAGCUUUCCCUCCUGGCCAGAAAUGUUCAGCCUGGACUCAUUCAGAAAAGAUCGGGCCCAGCACAGGCAGCGUCAGUGCAAACUUCCCCCACCCCGUCUUCCACCCAUGUGUGUCAACCCUGCCCCUGGAGGGACCAUUUCUCGAGGUCUGCUAAGACCAGUGCUCCUGGCGGCCUCUUGUCCUGACAGCUGCUCUUCCCAACUCCAUUGGCCACCUGUUCACACCCCUCCCUCAGUUUUUUAGUGGAAGAACACUAUUAUAGUUCAUAGAGUCUUUGCCUUAUUUGGAGACAG